CCAAGGAGUUUAGCGUGUGCGCAAGUCAUUGGGUGUCAAAACCUAAAGGCGAAAUGAAAGUGAAGGAAACUUCAGUUUCUGAGGGAGGAUGAGUUCUGUCCUUUAUUGGGCUUGCUUCGCACUCCCGGGGCGUCUCCAUCUCAUUGCGAGAAGAGGCGCACCCAGAGCGCACACGCUGAUACCCGAAAGAUGGUGAACUAUGCCUGGCCAGGACGAAGCCAGGGGAAACCCUGGUGGAGGUCCGCAGCGAUUCUGACGUGCAAAUCGAUCGUCGGAGCUGGGUUUAGGGGCGAAAGACCAAUCGAACCAUCUAGUAGCUGGUUCCCUCUGAAGUUUCCCUCAGGAUAGCUUGCGCUCAAAUGAAACGAGUCUCAUCCGGUAGAGCGAAUGAUUAGAGGCCUUGGGGUCGAAACGACCUCAACCUAUUCUCAAACUCCAAAUAGAUGAGAACCCCGGCUUUCUUGAACGUUGUUUAUGAAGCCGGGGGCUUGGAUCAGAGUGCCAAGUGGGCCAAUUUU
rnacentral:rRNA from 1 species